rnacentral:rRNA from 1 species
UAGUAGACACGUAGUUUGAUCAGUGGCUCAGGACACGCUGGCGGCGUGCUUAACACAUGCAAGUCGAACGAGAAGAGAUGAGAAGCUUGCUUCUUAUUGAUUCGAGUGGCAAACGGGUGAGUAACGCGUGAGGAACCUGCCUCAAAGAGGGGGACAACAGUUGGAAACGACUGCUAAUACCGCAUAAGCCCACGGGUCGGCAUCGACCAGAGGGAAAAGGAGCAAUCCGCUUUGAGAUGGCCUCGCGUCCGAUUAGCUAGUUGGUGAGGUAAUGGCCCACCAAGGCGACGAUCGGUAGCCGGACUGAGAGGUUGAACGGCCACAUUGGGACUGAGAUACGGCCCAGACUCCUACGGGAGGCAGCAGUGGGGAAUAUUGGGCAAUGGGCGCAAGCCUGACCCAGCAACGCCGCGUGAAGGAAGAAGGCUUUCGGGUUGUAAACUUCUUUUAAGAGGGAAGAGCAGAAGACUGUACCUCUAGAAUAAGCCACGGCUAACUACGUG